rnacentral:rRNA from 1 species
UACGUAGGCAGCAAGCGUUGUUCGGAGUUACUGGGCGUAAAGAGUGCGUAGGCGGUCCUUUAAGUUUGGUGUGAAAUCUCCCGGCUCAACUGGGAGGGUGCGCCGAAAACUGGAGGGCUUGAGUGUGGGAGAGGCAAGCGGAAUUCCUGGUGUAGCGGUGAAAUGCGCAGAGAUCGGGAGGAACACCAAUGGCGAAAGCAGGUAACUGGACUAUUACUGACACUCAGCUGCGAAAGCUAGGGGAGCAAACAGG